rnacentral:rRNA from 1 species
GACGAACGCUGGCGGCGUGCUUAACACAUGCAAGUCGAACGGAAAGGCCUUUUCGGAGGUACUCGAGUGGCGCACGGGUGAGUAACACGUGGGUGAUCUGCCCUGCACUCUGGGAUAAGCCUGGGAAACUGGGUCUAAUACCGGAUAGGACCGCACUUUAGUGUUUGUGGUGGAAAGUUUUUUCGGUGUAGGAUGAGCCCGCGGCCUAUCAGCUUGUUGGUGGGGUAAUGGCCUACCAAGGCGGCGACGGGUAGCCGGACUGAGAGGUUGGUCGGCCACAUUGGGACUGAGAUACGGCCCAGACUCCUACGGGAGGCAGCAGUGGGGAAUAUUGCACAAUGGGCGCAAGCCUGAUGCAGCGACGCCGCGUGGGGGAUGACGGCCUUCGGGUUGUAAACUCCUUUCGCCAGGGACGAAGCGUUUUGUGACGGUACCUGGAGAAGAAGCACCGGCUAACUACGUG